rnacentral:rRNA from 1 species
AGAAUCAACGCUGGCGGCGUGCCUCAGACAUGCAAGUCGAACGCGAAAGUCCCCUUCGGGGGGGCAAGUAGAGUGGCGCACGGGUGAGUAACACGUAGGUAAUCUACCUUCGGGUGGGGAAUACAACCGGAAACGGUUGCUAAUACCGCAUAAUGCAGCGGCACCUAAUGGUGACAGUUGUUAAAGCGGGGGAUCGAAAGAUCUCGCGCCUGGAAGAGGAGCCUGCGGCGGAUUAGCUAGUGGUAGGUAACGCCUACAAGGCGACGAUCCGUAGCCGGCCUGAGACGGGCGUCGGGCCACACGUGACCACGUGACAGUACGGGUCAGACUUCCAACGGG